UUGAACGCUGGCGGCAGGCCUAACACAUGCAAGUCGAGCGGAUGAGUGGAGCUUGCUCCAUGAUUCAGCGGGCGGACGGGUGAGUAAUGCCUAGGAAUCUGCCUAGUGGUGGGGGAUAACGUUCGGAAACGGACGCUAAUACCGCAUACGUCCUACGGGAGAAAGCGGGGGAUCUUCGGACCUCGCGCCAUUAGAUGAGCCUAGGUCGGAUUAGCUAGUUGGUGAGGUAAUGGCUCACCAAGGCGACGAUCCGUAACUGGUCUGAGAGGAUGAUCAGUCACACUGGAACUGAGACACGGUCCAGACUCCUACGGGAGGCAGCAGUGGGGAAUAUUGGACAAUGGGCGAAAGCCUGAUCCAGCCAUGCCGCGUGUGUGAAGAAGGUCUUCGGAUUGUAAAGCACUUUAAGUUGGGAGGAAGGGUAGUAACCUAAUACGUUGCUACUUUGACGUUACCGACAGAAUAAGCACCGGCUAACUUCGUG
rnacentral:rRNA from 1 species